CCGCGGGCAGGCGGCCGAGGCGGCGGCGGGAUGCAGCGCUGAGGCGGUCACCGCGCGGCGCGGUCGCCUCCCGCUAGCGGCCCAUGAUGUGUCUGGAAAGCGACGGCUCCUCCGGCAGCAGCCCGGGCUGCGGCGGGCGGCUCCGAGCCGGGGACGAAGAGGAGGAAGAGGACGGCGAACGGGGCUGCUGCGGUCGGGGCGCCGAGGGAGAAGUGCAGACCCUAUCGGGCAGAAUGAACCCGCCGGCUGUCGGCAAACGCCCGGAGCGCCCGAUCGUCCGCCGCAAGGCACCCAGCCUCGGCCGGGCCCGGGUGGCGGCCGCCGGCAUCCUCAGCGUGGGCAACGUGCUCAACUACCUGGACCGGUACACGGUGGCAGGUGUGUUGUUAGACAUCCAGCAGCACUUUGGAGUCAAAGACAGCGGGGCUGGCUUAUUACAGACAGUUUUCAUCUGUAGCUUCAUGGUGGCAGCGCCUAUCUUUGGUUACCUUGGUGACCGUUUCAACAGAAAGAUCAUUCUCAGCUGUGGGAUCUUCUUUUGGUCAGCUGUCACUUUUUCAAGCUCCUUCAUCACUGAGCAGUAUUUCUGGCUUCUUGUGCUCUCACGGGGUUUGGUUGGCAUUGGUGAAGCAAGUUACUCAACUAUAGCUCCAACCAUCAUAGGAGACCUUUUCAACAAAAACACCAGGACCCUUAUGCUGUCUGUUUUCUAUUUUGCAAUUCCUCUUGGCAGUGGCUUGGGAUACAUCACUGGAUCAAGUGUGAAGCAGGUUGCUGGAGACUGGCACUGGGCGUUGCGGGUAUCUCCACUCUUAGGAAUGAUAACAGGCACACUCAUCUUGAUAUUUGUACCUGCUGCUAAAAGAGGAAAUGUUGAACAACUUGGGGGACAGCUGAAGGCUCGGACCUCAUGGCUAAGAGACAUGAAGGCACUGAUUAGAAACCGCAGCUAUGUGUUCUCAUCAUUGGCCACCUCAGCUGUUUCCUUUGCCACCGGGGCACUUGGCAUGUGGAUCCCCCUCUACCUUCACAGAGCACAAGUUGUGCAGAAGACAGCAGAGACUUGCAGCUCGCAGCCCUGUGGCACCAAAGAUAGCUUGAUCUUCGGAGCAAUCACGUGCUUCACUGGUUUCCUGGGUGUAAUCACAGGGGCUGGGGCAACCAAAUGGUGUCGGUUAAAAACCCAGCGGGCUGAUCCUCUUGUCUGUGCUGUUGGCAUGCUAGGAUCAGCCAUCUUCAUCUGUCUGAUCUUUGUCGCUGCCAAGAGCAGCAUUGUGGGAGCCUAUAUUUGCAUUUUUAUCGGAGAAACUCUUCUGUUUUCAAACUGGGCUAUCACAGCAGACAUACUAAUGUAUGUGGUCAUCCCAACACGCCGUGCAACCGCAGUGGCCUUGCAGAGUUUCACUUCGCACCUUCUGGGAGAUGCUGGCAGUCCUUAUCUGAUUGGAUUUAUCUCAGAUCUGAUACGACAAAGCACAAAGGAGUCCCCGCUCUGGGAGUUCCUCAGCUUGGGGUAUGCACUCAUGCUCUGCCCAUUUGUCGUUGUCCUAGGAGGGAUGUUUUUCCUGGCCACAGCCCUAUUCUUCCUCAGUGACCGAGCCAAAGCUGAACAACAUAAUGAAACCGAUUCGGACCACCUCACGGUUGGCAACUACAGUAAUUCAGAAGACGCUUCCACAUGAUACACACACUGCUGGGGUGAACCAACUUGUGAUGCCACCAGCCUCUGUGAAAGUCUGAGAUGUUGAAGGUGAAGGAAACCACGUGUGGACUCCUGCUUCCAGCAACAGUCUCAAGCUCAAAGCCCUUCCACACUGGAAAACGGUGGCUCCCUCAGCUCCACGCCACCCUGGAAGGGCUACAUAGCAGCACCAAAUCCACCACGCCACUCCAGCCUGCAGGGUCAGGCACCAGGAGAUGAGCAGGGCAGCCUGGAACACAGUGCUUCUUGAGCAUAAGGACAUUACAGGUUCCUCUGAGCAUCUAAAGCAACUCUCCACUGGACCCAAGUGAGUGACUGUAGAUUGUGUAAAUGGUUUUAGUUGUAGCCAAUGAAGUCCACAUUGUUACAGGACUUCUGUCCUAUUGAAUGCUGCUGUUCUGCCAGCACUCCCACACCCAGAGACUGCACUAGUUGGGGACCUAUUCUGUACAUCACUUUUUUCUUUAACACUGAAGGCUCAAUUUAGAUUAUUAUUUUUUAUUUAAAUAUGUCCUAAGAUGCUUUAUCUGCUAAAGACAUUAGAUAACAGAUAUAUAUAUAUAUAUAUAUAUUUAGAUGAACAGUUUUUAUUUAAACAUUUGAAAUCUGGAGCUGCCUGUGUAACCAUACCAGACAUGAAUACGUCCACAACUCUCCUCAUCUCAGUGCCCUGGUAUCAGGUCCUAGAAGGACACCACGGGAAGAGUUCCCAUGGUGGAUGGAACCUGUCACCUGAGGCUGAGCGACAGGACAGAGGAGAGAGUUGCACUGCACUGGGUGUGCUGGUGGUUGUUACAGAAAGGCCCCAAACUUUGGACAGAAAUACUAGGGGCUCCAGAUUUUAUUCAGUAUACUACAUUCAGCCUUGCCUAGGAGGUUCACAGGUUUAUAAAAUACCAAAAUCCAUCUGGCUGAAUUGCUUUACCAAUGGCCUGGUAGUGCAAUACUGCUGUGCCAGUAACAUCAUGCUUUGUUUACAUGCAUAUCAUGUUACGUGUAUUGUCAGUGCUAAUUCUCCCUCAUCAGUAUUUUCUGAGCAGGCAGCUGAUACUCUACUGUGCUGUUCCCUUUGGAGCAAUGGUUAGGUCAUGCAUGUCCAUCUCCACACACUGUCCUAGACUGCUCUUAGUGGGGUGCCUCAUUUAUCUUCAAGACACAAGGCCAGUGUCUGAACUCUGUAGAAGAGUUUCAAAUGCAGAAGAGUGUGGCUGUAAAGCAGCCAGAGCAUCAUUUCACAAAGUCUUGUUUCUUGCACUUGACCUCCACAAGCCAAAUUUAUGCUGCACCAGCUUAAUGCUGCAAGAGUGACAGGAAGGAAGGAGAGCACAGAGAGCACAGGCCCUGGAGAGAGUCAGGCUUCCAGAGAAAGGGCGUUUGUUCAGUGAACUUCUCACUCCCUUUUUCUGUUCUGAUGUCUCCCAGAGGUCAGACUUUCCAGACCUCUUUCCAGGUUAGGCACCCGGACACUUUGGGUGUACCUCACUCUUGUGUUCAUGUACAAUAAGCAACUGUGGUUAAGCUGCAAGUAUGACUAAAACAGCAAAGGAAAUGGAAAACUGGGACUGGAUGUGAGUUACAUCUCCAAGUUGGCUGUUCUGUUGUGCUGUAGCUUUGUUCAGACAUAAGAAGGGUAUAGGUAGUAAAUCUAGGUUUUAUCUCCAGUUCACUUCCAGGAUGUGCUGCAAUCUACAGCAAAGCAUUGUAGUAGAGAUGGUUGCUAACUCCACCAAACUAGUCGCUAUUCCUACACUGCCAGUGUUAUGAGGGUGAUUCCUAUAAAAAUCUGAGCAUUUCCUCUUCAUCUGUUACGUAAAAUGCUUAAACAAUGGCUCUAGAGUUGGCUGAACAACUAAGCCAGAAAUUUUCCUUGAGUGCCUGGGCAUCUUCUGGGAAACAGCAAGUGGAUGUUAGAAAAAAUAACAAAAAGCAAAUCCAAAGCAAUUUUUUGUUUCCCACCUUAUGCCCCUAUUUACAUUUGCAGGGGAAAUACCAACACUGUAGAAGCCAAAUACUUGGCUUUAAAGGCACACGAAUUUCUGAUUCCCAUUAAGAAAUUCCUUGUUAAGAUGGUUAAAAAGAAACAAUUAGUCAUUUCAUUUCAGAUACCAAAGAAGAUUAGCUGUAUUUCCUGAGCUGCUUUUCUGAUAGGCUCCCUCUGUUUUAGCAUUUACUGUCAACAAAAUGAAGCAUUCCUGCUCAAGUUCAGAGGUCGAGAAUUGUCCGUAAACUUAAUUCUCUGAAGGCAACAAUGAAAAGGGAACAAAGUGUUUUAUAGUUUUGCCAUCUCUCCUUGUUUGUGCCAAACCCAAUCCUUGCUGGAGAAGCACAGUACUGUUACAGGAGGCCAGCUUUAUCUUCUGUGUAUAUGAAGGAAAUUGCUGUGGAUGCUUUUUUAACAAGGAAAAAGGGAUGUGAGCAAGCAAGGGAGUAAGAAGCAAGUCCUACUUGUAGCAGUCCCAUGCCAAGGGAUCCCUGAAUCCCUCCCACAUGUUCCAGGCUAACCAAGAGAAGCCCAAGCAGCAACCAGAAUAGCUCAUGAAGAUGAACAGGAGAAGGGACAGGAAUCCUGCUGCCCCUUUACAUGUUGUGAUCUAUGUUUUAAUGGCUGAAAGCAGAAAGGCUGGAUUUCUUGUUGAGUGUGUCUUGUUUGUAUUCCUAACUGGAAGAAUUGUUCAGUCAGAGCUCCUAUAAAAGUAUUUGGUCUAUUGGAGUGAAACCAGCUCACUUAGAUCAAGGGUUGGCAGGAUUAAGUCAGCAAGAAGAGGUACAUCAAAUCUGGGCAUGAACUAUGCAUGUCAUCAAACAGAAACUGGACCUGUGUCACCAUCCAUGUCCCCUCCUUGGGUUCUAACUUAGUAUUCUCCAUCCCAAGAUGUUGGCCCAUUUCUGCCAGUAUGCAACUGGAGGAGAACUUAGACUGAAGACACAUUGCUUACAUCAAAGCUGAAGAGCAGCUCUUACUAAAAUUAGUAUUUGUUUUUUUAAAGAAAGGCUGUUAAUUUGAAAAGGUAAUUGAUUUUAUAUACAUAUCUUUUAGAACACACCACAGCCAAUGAAGCAAGAUUCCAGUCUAUCACCUCAAGUUGCUUAGAUCAUCAAUGUUGUGUUUCAGACUCAAAACUUCAACAUAAGAUUAAACAGUUCCAAUUAGAACACAAAUACUUGUAAAACCCCUGAUCUCCUGCACACAAAAUGACUUAAUAUGAAUGUCUGAAAAUUAGUGUGCAUAAAAGCAGCUCUUGAAUGCAUUUGAAAACAUGGGAAAACACCACCAAAAGGGAGCAAGCACUACUACUCAUGUUCUCCCAUUCCAGCACACUUACAUCUCCUCAGAAGAAAAGCCAAGAGAGGGGAAAGGCAGACAGGUUUUCAGCGGGUGCUGCUUCAUCUCACCCCACUCCUUGGGGCUCUGUCUGGUCCUUCCCCAGUGCUGCUCCUCUUCCCCACCUCUCUGCUUGAGGGUCUCCCAUCUCUGACGAUUUGCAGUAAGGCUCCUUCUGACCUCCCUGCACUCUCUGGGACUUGGAGUAUUAGGUGCAGCCUUGCUGCAUGCAUCAGGGUCUGUGCCUGACCCCACAGGUAUAGGUUGUCCAGAGGGGAUGGUCCAGGAUGCCCUUUUGAAUCAUGACAGCUUUCUUCUGCUUUACUUCAUGCACGGUGUGUGGUUUUGUUUUUAAGCAAGCAUUAACUCCCUCUGCAGCCAGUACUGCAUUUGCACCAGUGUACUUGCUAUGAAACAACUAGACUGUUUGUACACAGCAAGAGGAAGAGGUAAUGGGAACUGCACAGAGAGGCAAGAAAAUUACCCGAAAAGCAGCAAGCUGCCAAGCCCAGUAACCACACUGCCUCCUGCUGCUGUCACUUGGAGCUAGAAUCUGAGUGGGGGAACCAACAGCCUCUCACCUUUUACAGAACUGGCUAAGAGAGAACCUCAGGUGACAGAAUCCUAUGAAAGGAAUGGAUGUACUCUGGAAAGCAGAGUUCUCUGCACCUUCUGCCCUAACUGUUGUCUUCUCUGUUUGCUUUAUUGUUUGGUAAACCAGCGCUUACUAUCACCUUUACUACGUGAUGUAUGGGAGUAUAUUUUCUUGUUAUACAAGGAGGAGUAUAAAAUAGUUUUCUGAUUUCUUUCAGAAGCAAAUGACUAUUUUAUUUUUUAAGAGCAAUUGAUUGUGAAUCUCAGAGUAUAAAAGAAGAGAAAUAAGCCAAAUCUAUACCUUUAUGUAAAUUAAGAAA